UGUUUACAUCUGAAUCACCAGUCCCUUCCGGAGGCCUUUUAGUCAGCAGCAUGAAGAAGGGAGGUGUCUAGGUUCUGAGUCCACGUGGCCUCCUUUUAGCCCAGUGUCACCCAUUCUUCCCUGUGGCUUAGGGUGCUGCCUUCUUCCUCUUCUCUGCCGGCAGUAGGGCUGCUCUCUAGAGUUCAUACUCUGUUCCCCAGAGGAGUGAACUCCUGUCCUUCGUUCUGCCUAGGCCCUCCCUAAGGUCUGGAGAUGAAGCUUUGGAGACAGAUGGUCUUGAGGAGAGGACCGUGUCUAGUGAGACUGGGUCUCUGUGGUCUGAUCUGGCCUAGUAGUUGAUGUGUAGCCAAAGCUGGCCUUGAAUUCUUGUCAAUCCUCCUGACUUAACCCCUCAAAUGCUGGGAUUCAAAGUGCCCUCCCACCUUAGGAAACCUUGAUUGUCCAAAUCCAUACUAAUACCACACUUAGCACAGAGAAUUUCUGAUAACUCACCUGCAGACUACAAGAUGCCAUGGAGGAGGACUGGGUGGAGGAGACCCCUGUUCCAUUCCUGAGAAGAGAUGGCUGGGAACAAACAUUAAAAGUUUUACAGUGACUAAGGGUCACCCUUGAAGGACCAUUACUCCCUAAGAGCACAGGACCCGCAUCUGUCCAGCUGCCUACCCACCCGUUCAUAAAUACAUCCUUAGCACAUGAUCCGGUCCAUCGAAAGCACAGAGCUCGUGUUUUGUGGAGAGGAAAACCAAGACACCGCCCAACCCUUCACCUGGCAUGUGUGGUGAGGAACGAGAACCCAAGCUCUGUGCUCUGGGAACUGGAAGCAUUGCACAGAUGCAUCAUGAACAGAGGCCUGAGCCUCGCCUUCUGAGUCAGACUCAGUACAUCUGUGACUCAGAGGCCUCGCUCCUCAGCAAUGCUGGCUAGGAAUGUGUUGGGAGCUAUAAAUCCCUGACCCCUUGAUUUUCUUUGCCUGCCUCAGACCCUUUGCCUGCUGGAGUGAACUGAGCAAAACAACUUGUUUUCCUCUUCCCUGAGCAGCCUGCAGCUGCUCUGAGCACGAGGCCUUGAUGGCAGGCUGGUGGGUCUGCAGCUGUAUCCUGAGUGCUGGGGCGUGGCCAGAGCCCUAUGUAAGCUUCCCCUGAGCACACUAAACUUGGCACUGUUGUAUCAAGA